rnacentral:rRNA from 1 species
CAGCAGCCACGGUAAUACGUAGGGUGCAAGCGUUAAUCGGAAUUACUGGGCGUAAAGCGUGCGCAGGCGGUUAUAUAAGUCAGAUGUGAGACCCCCGGGUUCAACCUGGGAACUGCAUUUGAGACUGUAUGGCUAGAGUGUGUCAGAGGGGGGUAGAAUUCCACGUGUAGCAGUGAGAUGCGUAGAUAUGUGGAGGGAUACCGAUGGCGAAGGCAGCCCCCUGGGAUAACACUGACGCUCAUGCACGAAAGCGUGGGGAGCAAACAGGAUUAGAUACCCCAGUAGUCCCUGUCUCUUAUAC